ACUAUCCGUAAGCAUCCGCUCGAGCCCUGCAGGUCUGCACCACUGUGGCAAAACGGGCUGGCAGAUAAUAUUAGGUACAGUCUAGAUACAGCUGAGGACCCCACACACACACACACACACACACACACACACACACACACACACACACACACACACACACACACACACACACACACACACACACACACACACACACACACACACACACACACACACACACACACACACACAUUACUUUCUCAACAUUGGCUUAUGCACCACGGCUUGGUGCUUUCUAUCGCAGCCAUGCCCAGGCCACCACAACCCCCAGAGUAAAAAGAAGGGCCAUUGAACAGCGGAGGGAAGCCCCCUAAGUGUACUGUAGACCCCCGGUUCCAGUAGGCGGCACCCCGGCGUGUGUGAAGCACAGGUACAUGGCGCCGGUGUGUUCUGCUGAACACCAACAUAACAUCACGGAGGAGCCACAACUCAUAUGUGCCCGUCGGCACGUAUAGCGGGGAAUGUUUACCGUCUCUCCAGCCUGCCACCCUGGAAGCGCAAAAAAUAGACAAAGGAAAAGACGGCAGUUCGCACAAGGUUGACUGCGGUAUACACAGUGACAUUUAGAACGCAUGCCCCCCCCCCCUCCUCCAUUUUGUAGGGUUUUAGUUACAAGCUGGGCAAUAAAAGCAGGACCACCUGCCUUUGACUUUGCUCCUCAGCUGUAAACAAUUUCCUCCUCCUGUCAUAUCGGCGGUGGGGAUCAGCGGCUGAAUGUCAAGGUCGGGGCGAGACGGCCCCGCGCCGUUUCAACACACAAACGAGCGGAGGACUCACAACGCGAGCUGGCCAUUAAAUCACCGGCCCCAUUAGAUGUGUUUCUGCACUGUUUUUGUCUCCUAUUGCCCUGGGUGGUUUUUUGUUGUGGCAACGACCUCCCAUCUGCUGACUAACUGCUCUGUGGGAUACGUUGCCCUUAAGGAGUCUGUGUGUCUUUAUGUAUAGACAUGCACAUGCAUACACACAGGUCUGUGUGGGUCUUUUUCCCGUAGCUUUGGCAAGAAACAAUUCUUUAUUUAUAAGUGGUGCUAUAUUCUAAUAUAGUAGUAGGCUGCAACUUCUAGUUUCUGCAAUGCAUCACGCUGUCAGUGAAGAGAACAAGAAUUGUAAUGUUGAUGUGUUCCAGGCGCUUGUUUUCAUUGAUAUAUUAAAUUGACAAAUAGAUCUUCAGCUGUAUGACGCGUCGUCUGUUGCUCUUUAAAAAAGGCUCCCUCUAGUGGUGAUUUGAUGCUCUACAUUCAGUUGAGUUUUGGGCUGUUUCGGGGACGCUGCUGAGCCUGCAAUAAACUACUUUGUUAUUCAGUUUGCUGACGAUCAAAUCAUCUUUUAGAUAUGAAUUCAAAAACAUACUUUUUAAAAAAGAAUCAGGCAAGUUUGUUGUUCAUUGUUUUUUUCUUUUAAAACAUCACAUUAUAUGUAUUGAGCAGACCUUUAAAUCUCAUAUCCAAAAUAUGAGUUUGACCUUAUUGCUCAGACUCUGGAGUAAACAAAACUUUUUAUACAUUUGCUUUAUCUUAUCGCUCAGAUGAAGCAGGGAAUACAAACGCAACUCAAAGGCCACAAUAUCUUUUUCAUUUCCAUGAAAGUUUAAUCUAAUA
rnacentral:lncRNA from 1 species